rnacentral:rRNA from 1 species
GCGUGUGUGAAGAAGGCCUUCGGGUUGUAAAGCACUUUCAGCUGUGAGGAAAGGCGAGUGGUUAAUACCCGCUUGCUGUGACGUUAACAGCAGAAGAAGGACCGGCUAACUCCGUGCCAGCAGCCGCGGUAAUACGGAGGGUCCGAGCGUUAAUCGGAAUUACUGGGCGUAAAGCGCGCGUAGGUGGUUCAGUCAGUCAGAUGUGAAAGCCCCGGGCUCAACCUGGGAACUGCACCUGAUACUGCUGAGCUAGAGUACGGUAGAGGGUAGUGGAAUUUCCGGUGUAGCGGUGAAAUGCGUAGAGAUCGGAAGGAACACCAGUGGCGAAGGCGACUACCUGGACCGAUACUGACACUGAGGUGCGAAAGCGUGGGUAGCAAACAGGAUUAGAUACCCUGGUAGUCCACGCCGUAAACGAUGUCAACUAGCCGUUGGGGGACUUGAU